CCGCCUCUUUCUGAGGGCUUCUAACUGCUCCCUUUAUGCAUUUUUUUUUUCUUCACACCAAAGCGACGGCACUUUAAAAACCCAUUUAAAGCAAAAAAUGUUCCACAAACGAGACUGAUGUGGCACCCGCUCCUUGCCAUUAUUUAUGCUGUGGAGAGAAAAUGACUGGCUGAGUGGAACUCAGCCUUGGCUCUCGAGAGGAUCACAGCCACGUUCCACUUGCCCAAAGCUACCUGGAAAGGUCAUCCCAGCAUUCAGCCGGGAAGUAUGAGGUCUGAACAGGUCAAUGGAUAUGAGAAAUGAAUCAGUACUGGUAGUAGCAGUUGUAGUAUAAAGGGUCGUGGGGGGUGCUGGAGCCUAUCCCAGCUGUCAUAGGGCGAGAGGCGGGGUACACCCUGGACAGGUCGCCAGUCUGUCGCAGGGCCAACACACAGAGACAGACAACCAUUCACACUCACAUUCACUCGCACAUUCACACCUAGUGGC
ensembl:lncRNA